CAGGAGGCCGACAAACCUCACAGAAGAAAGGGAGAGAAAAAAUACAGCUGUGAUGAGUGUGGGAAGGAUUUUACCUGUCCUGGAAAAUUAAAAAGACACCAACUCAUCCACAGUGGAGUUAAACCGUACUGUUGUGAGUUCUGCGGAAAGCCUUUUACCCAGGCUGCAGACUUAAAAUCACAUCAACUCAUCCACAUUGGAGUUAAAGCGUACAAAUGUGACUUGUGUGGAAAGUCUUUUACCCAUCCUGGAAGCCUAAAAAGACAUCAACUCAUCCACAGUGGAGUUAAAGCAUACAGAUGUGACUUGUGUGGAAAGUCUUUUACCCAUCUUGAAAGCUUAAAAAUACACCAAGUCACCCACAGUGGAGUUAAAGCAUACAACUGUGACUUGUGUGGAAAGUCUUUUAGCCAGGCUGGAAGCUUAAAAAAACACCAACUCAUUCACAGUGGAGUUAAGGCAUUCAGCUGUAAGUUAUGUGGGAAAUCAUUUACCCAGUCCCAAAACUUAAAAAAACAUCAAGUUACCCACUCUGGAAUUAAGGCGUACAGCUGUGACAUUUGUGGAAAAACUUUCAGCCAUGUAGGGUACAGAAAUAUUCACCUACGGAUUCACACUGGACAUGAUGUUUACUGCUGUGAUCAGUGUGGCAAACUGUUUACAACAGAUGCACAGUUACAAAGCCACAUGUUUACCCACACUGAGGAGAGACCUUAUAAAUGUGACCUGUGUGAUAAGGCUUUUAAAGAGCCAAGUUCCCUGAAAAAACACCAACAGAUCCACACCAGAAAAAAACUCUACAAGUGCAGUUACUGUGAGAAGCAGAGCGGCACAGAUGGAUCCAGUUCUCAACCCUGUCGUCACUGUGGUGGUGGGAAAGACUUUCGCUGUGAACUUUGUGGAAAAACAUUCAGCCAUCCCCGAAGUCUAGAACUACAUCAACGUAGACACACUGGAGACAAAAUGAGCUACUGCAAAGAAUGUGGAAGAGGCUUCCCCACGCCAAGUAUAUUAAAAAUACAUGAACUUAUUCACAGCGGGGUUAAAAAGCACAACUGUGAUCAGUGUGGGUCAUCCUUCACCACUGCAGGUCACCUUAAAAGUCAUAAACAAGUCCACACAGGAGAGAAACCAUACAAGUGCAGACAUUGUGACAGAAGCUUCUCGCAUUCAACCAGUCGUAACGAUCAUGAGAGUACACAUAUGGAAGAGAACUUCAGCUGUGACCAGUGUAACAAGAGCUUCAAGAAUCUCAGUUCAUACUCCAAACACAAACGAUACCACGCUGUAAAUAAACUGUUUCACUGUUACCAGUGUGCAAAAACAUUCACUUCAUUAUCUGCUCUGUGCAAUCAUCAGCGUGAUCAUGCAGACCUGAAGUCUCUGGAUCACAAUGAAUCUGAAGAGACAGAAAAUUCCUGUUUGCAGGGUCCGACUUAAAAACCUUGAGAUCAGGCUUCUCAGCGUUCAGCUGAUUUCACACUUGGAUCUGAUGAGGUACCUCUUAUUUCCGGACCUGCAGUGAGUAAUCCUGAAUGUUACACUCAAGAAGCUGAAAUUAUAAAUAUGUACGUCAAGUUUUUAUUUUUCUUUGAUUACCUUUGAUGCUCUGUUUCAACAUGAAUGUUUUUUAUUUAUUCAUUUCAUGCGUUACCUCAGUCGAAUUCUAAUCCAUGUUCAUGUUUAAUCCUCUUAUCUGUUUCGUAAUAUGUGCUCUUAAAUUGCUUUUCUCCCAAAAGUCCAAAUAAUUUUACACCAGUUGCUCGUGAAGCUUCUAAUAUGAACUAAAUCGGUCAACAGGCUUUGAAACAACAACUGAUGUGACUUUAUACGCAAAAUAAAAAUUAAAAAAAACUCAAGCUAAAUUCGUGUUGGGCUGUACUUCCAUGUAAAACCAGUUUGUGCCAACAGUUGGAGAAAUGACUCACUACAACCAUUA